rnacentral:misc_RNA from 1 species
GGGAACUAUAGUGCAGAGACGAGUGACAACUAACGAGGCAAAUCCAAACAACUCAUAAAUUGGAGGGAACGGAACGGAUCAGACAGGACCAUGAUUCGUAUAACUGGACGCACCCACUAAAACAAUCCUGGCGGGAAAAUGUCAGUGCAGUCCUUUCCGUCGCCCAUAAAACUCUGUUUAAUUUCCCAAACACUUCCUAUUUCAUCUUUUCUCUCUUUAUAGAACUCGAUCUUCGUCGAUUCAAUUCGAUCUCUCACUCUCAUCCACCAUUAAAAUGAUCUUCAAAACGGUUUAAUCAAAUUAUAUCUGGUACUUUCAUUUGAGCACUUCCUCCAUUAUUUUCGGCCAUAAUUUAGGGUUUCUUGUUAUUUGCCCAAGUUAAAAUCUCCACCUUUUGAACUAAAUUUUCAAUAACAUAUUGUUCUACUUCAUUGAAUUUUAGGUACCGUGCUUAAAGUGUCUAUUUUGUAGGCUCUCUUGUGCUAAAAGUUGAAUUAUUGUUUCUGUUGAAAAAUGGAUGGAGCUUUUGAGGACGAUAAUGAGCAGACCAUAACCAUCAAUGAGUAUCUUAACAAGGUUGAAGCCGAGGAGUUGGAAGCGGAUUUGGUUUUGGGCGGAGAUGAGGGCAAAGAGUGCACCUAUACUAUGGGGUAUAUGAAGAGACAGGCAAUUUUCUCUUGUCUGACUUGCGCUCCAGAUGGGACUGCUGGGGUUUGCACUGCUUGCAGCUUGUCUUGUCAUGAUGGCCAUGAGAUUGUGGAGUUAUGGACCAAGAGAAAUUUUCGGUGUGACUGUGGAAAUUCGAAAUUUGGGGAGUUCUUUUGCAAGCUUUUCCCAAAGAAAGAUGUAGAAAAUGUGGAUAAUUCUUAUAAUCAUAAUUUCAAAGGUUUAUACUGCACUUGUGGUCGGCCCUAUCCUGAUCCAGAUGUUGAAGAACAGGAAGAGAUGAUACAGUGCAUUAUGUGUGAGGACUGGUUUCAUGAGGAACAUCUUGGUCUUGAGCCUUCUAAUGAGAUUCCAAGAGAUGAUGAAGGAGAGCCUCUAUAUGAGGAUUUCAUAUGCAAGACAUGCUCAACAAUUUGUUCUUUUCUGACGCUAUAUCCUCAGACUAGAUGGGCAGCUGGGGGGCAGAGAGGUGACGCUAUUGUAAAUAAUGUUAAGGAUAAAAAUGGGUUAGAAGAUAUAUCUUCAGCUUGUGGAUCUGGAAAGCUUGAGAAUGAUGCUUGUUCUCAGGUUUCUGGAGAGGAUAAUGCAGUGGCUGAUGCUAAUAGUGAUUCAGUGCCUGUUGCUGAGGCAUCUGUUAUUGGAGAGAGCUCUGAGAAGAAUAUAGGUUCAAAUCAAAGCACAAAAGAUGGCAACCGUCAGACUACUUGUGUUCUUGGAGUUGAUACAGUAUCUACUCUGCCUGUUUUGGAAAAUAAAUCGCUGUUUCUUUCCAAAAAUUGGAGGGAUAUCCUCUGCAGAUGUGAAAGAUGCUUAGAUAUGUACAAUCAGAAGCACAUAAGUUAUCUGCUUGACAAGGAGGACUCAAUUGCUGAGUAUGAGAAAAUGGCAAAGCAGAAGAGGGAAGAAAAGUUGCAGCAGCAGGACGGUGAUGAGCUGAGCCUUUUCAACAAACUGGGUCAUGUAGAGAAGAUGGAGAUAUUGAAUGGCAUUGCAGACUUUAAGGAGGAGUUUCGAACUUUUCUGGAGUCGUUUGACACAUCAAAAACGAUCACAUCAUCUGAUGUCCACCAGAUAUUUGAAAAUCUUGCUAAAAAGCGCCGGCGUGCACAGUGAGUUGUCUGUUAGUUUCUCAUGUUUUACAUGUGGCCUCUUCUUUAGCUGGGCUAGGAGCUGAACCUUUCUAGAACAUAUAGAAAUUUGAAAAGGCGUUCUGUUUUAAAGUAAGAAUGCUCCAGUUGUAUGGACCAUCUUGUCUUGUAGAGUUUUGUGUUUAUUCACCUUAAAUUCAACGUGGAUUUCCGUAUUUACAUGCUGGAAUAAUGUAAUUUUUGUAGUUGGUGAAUCCUUCGAUAUGUUGAAUUAUGUUGUCUAUCACCAUGUGAUUCGGAGGCCAGGAACUGGUCAAUUUUAGGCUGCCUCGCUACAAUAGUUUUGCAAUGGUUACUGAUCGAGGCAAAUAUCAUACAAGGAAGAUAAAGUUUUUAAUCCGGUGGUGC